GACGAACGCUGGCGGCGUGCUUAACACAUGCAAGUCGAACGGAAAGGCCCUGCUUUCAGGGUACUCGCGUGGCGAACGGGCGAGUAACACGCGCGUGAUCUGCCCUCCACUUCGGGUGAAGCCACGUAAACAGGGCGUAAUACCUGACAGGUGCUAUAUUGAGCCUCAUGGUUGGAUAGUUAUUUCGGUGUUGGAUGAGCUCGCGGGCUGUCAGCUUGCUGCUGGAGUAAUGGGCUACCAAGGCGGCGUCGGGUAGCCGGCCUCAGUGGGUGGACGGCCACCUUGAGACUGAGAUACGGCCCAGGCAGCUACGGGACGGAGAAGUGGGGAAUAUUGCACGAUGGGCGCAAGCCGGGUGCUGCGACGCCGCGUGGCGGAUGACGGCCUUAGGGUUGUAAAACACUUUCGCUAGGAACGAAGCUUUUUGUGACGGUACCUAGAUAAGAAGCACCGGCUAACUACGUG
rnacentral:rRNA from 1 species